rnacentral:lncRNA from 1 species
AAAUCUCUAAAAACAAAUAAUACUUUUGAGAAUUUUGAUUCUGUAGAUGAUUUGGUUGGGGUAGAUAUGUUAAUUGAUGUGUUUUCUAAAAAGAAAACAACAAUAUAUUUUGUAGAUUUCUACUUUUCGUGGACGAGUGUACAAACGGCUAUAUGGUUGAGGCCUCACAGUUCUUUACGAGGCUGCGAAGGCCCUCGGCACUGCCUCGUAGCUCUGCGUGCACCCACAUGGAAGGAAAGCUCCUAAAGGGCAAAAAACCUCUGUUGCCCAGCGGGAGGUUUCACGUUUUUCUAUUGGCCGCUUUUUGCUCUCUUACUCCGUUUCUCGUCCAUUCUCACACAUUUUUUCCAUUUUAAAAAUUAUUCAUAUAUUCUUGAAUCACUCGUUUGUUAUAUGAGUUGAACAAGUACAACAAUUGGUGCGA